GUGCAGCCGUAGCAAAUAUUUGAAACGGAGCAUGUUUGAUUAUUCAUCAGAGGGCGAUGUCAUUGACAACAAAGGAUGAAUGCAAUCUGCAAUGGCUCUCACUUGAUCCCCCAACGGAGAAAGACUUCAUUGGCUGGGUUUGUCAAAGAGACGGGGAUGGUGACAUCGAGAAUACUAUUGGGGAAAUUUAUUUGGACGGAAUUUUCUGUAGCCUAUGCAUUAUCUGCUUGGACUUAUCCCAUGACACUGUAUCUUAUCCAUGACUCUCAUCAGCUGAAAGCAUCAGCUAUCUCUUCAUGCUGGGGAGACUCACAUCCAAGUCCUAACAUAUGGCCAACACUGCCGUGCAAGAUAUGUCUUCGCACUACAGUGGUUUGGAUUCCCAGUUGUUUACUGGUUACCCUUGGCUGAAUUGGAGGGAUGAUGCAAUCAAGAAAAAUAUGACUGUAAGGGAAAAGAGAAAUGUUGCGAAGUCUUAUAAUCUUGCUGUUUUCCAGGAUGUUGUCGAGUUCUUCUUGACCUGCAUGGUCGGAGCACCAAUCAAGAUGAAACAGACAAUUGAGACCUUUCCUUCUGGUGCUUUUGCCUGUAAUCCUUUAUACUUUGAUAAAUUGAAAUGGUUUGUCGCCAUUUAGAAGAUCUGAAAAUGAUGUUUGAUCA